CGUGCUUAACACAUGCAAGUCGAACGAAACACCUUAUUUGAUUUUCUUCGGAACUGAAGAUUUGGUGAUUGAGUGGCGGACGGGUGAGUAACGCGUGGGUAACCUGCCCUGUACAGGGGGAUAACAGUCAGAAAUGACUGCUAAUACCGCAUAAGACCACAGCACCGCAUGGUGCAGGGGUAAAAACUCCGGUGGUACAGGAUGGACCCGCGUCUGAUUAGCUGGUUGGUGAGGUAACGGCUCACCAAGGCGACGAUCAGUAGCCGGCUUGAGAGAGUGAACGGCCACAUUGGGACUGAGACACGGCCCAAACUCCUACGGGAGGCAGCAGUGGGGAAUAUUGCACAAUGGGGGGAACCCUGAUGCAGCGACGCCGCGUGAGUGAAGAAGUAUCUCGGUAUGUAAAGCUCUAUCAGCAGGGAAGAAAAUGACGGUACCUGACUAAGAAGCCCCGGCUAACUACGUGCCAGCAGCCGCGGUAAUACGUAGGGGGCAAGCGUUAUCCGGAAUUACUGGGUGUAAAGGGUGCGUAGGUGGUAUGGCAAGUCAGAAGUGAAAACCCAGGGCUUAACUCUGGGACUGCUUUUGAAACUGUCAGACUAGAGUGCAGGAGAGGUAAGCGGAAUUCCUAGUGUAGCGGUGAAAUGCGUAGAUAUUAGGAGGAACAUCAGUGGCGAAGGCGGCUUACUGGACUUGAACUGACACUGAGGC
rnacentral:rRNA from 1 species